rnacentral:snoRNA from 1 species
AAACUCCAGGUCCCUUACUCCUCUGAUCUGAACAUUGGUCUGUGUGGCUUUAAAAAAGGAGGGAAGGUAAACAUGAAAAGACAGUUUCGAUGCGCGUAAGACUGCAGCCACGC